rnacentral:rRNA from 1 species
UACGUAGGGUGCAAGCGUUGUCCGGAAUUAUUGGGCGUAAAGAGCUCGUAGGCGGUCUGUCGCGUCUGCUGUGAAAACCUAGGGCUUAAACUCUGGGCGUGCAGUGGGUACGGGCAGACUAGAGUGCGGUAGGGGAGACUGGAAUUCCUGGUGUAGCGGUGAAAUGCGCAGAUAUCGGGAGGAACACCGGUGGCGAAGGCG